rnacentral:lncRNA from 1 species
AUUUGAAUCUCUUAACUGGUAAGACCAAUAUAAUUUAACAAAAAACACACGAAACAUUUUAUUUUUGAAAUCAGUACAAAUGGUUUAACCGUCUACUUUUUAAACAACGACUGCCAGGGUUAAAUCUGUGGAAACACCGAAGAAAAAAUAAAAAACAAAAAAAAAAAAACAGAAAAGCAUUACAAAUGAAAACAAAUAAUAAUAACCCUGAGAAUGCUAUCAUAGUAAACAAUUCAUAAAAUUACUUCGACAAACCGGAAAAUUAUUUAAUGAUCACAUACACGUUUUUAAGAGCAGCUACUAUCUACUUCAAGAAGUAGCAAUGUUUGCCAAACUUUUAUUGAAAUUUGGUCUCACAAAAACAAUAGUUGCAUAUAAAUAUUCAUAAACAUUAGGAAACACAAAACAAUUUAUUUGAAAAUAGUCAAUUCCUAGAUCCUGCACACACUAUUGAAUGAUAAUUCAAUUUUAUUUAUACGACGUCUUAUAACCCUAUGAGCAUGAGUAAUACUUUGAAAAUAUCGAAUCACAAUUAAAUUUCCAUAUUCACAUUUUCGAAUGUGGUUUACCUGAAUCAUUUGCGUUGAUAUAUAAAAUAUUCCAUCAUUGUAGGAAAACAUAAACAGCCAGUUUAGUUCAUUUUUGUCAAAAUAAUCUAAGAAUCAUCGCUGAUAAUUUUUGAACUUCCAAGUGAACAACUUGACCUCAUUGAUUCCAUAUUCAUAUGUGACAUUCAAUUAAACUCAAGCUAGAAAUUUGUUAUGCAUUAUUAUUCGUGUUCAACCAUUAAAAGGAAAAUAAUGUUAACAAUGAAAGUGAAACAAAGGUGAACCAUUUCGUUGACCGAUUGAAUCCACUAAAAACAGAUAAAACGAUGAUUCACUAUUUUUUUAAACCUAAAUUAUUAAAUCAAACAGACCUAGAAUUAGGAACGCGAUUGUUAUAGGAUAUUGACAUCAGUGGUCAUUCAAUUCAGGCCACGAAAGUAAUUUUUCUAUAAAGUGUACUGUAGAACGUUAAAUUAAACAUUGCAUACAAUGAGAGAUAGACAAUUUAAUGUUCAAUUUACACCAUUAUGAUAUAUUACAGGUUACAUUUAUUUCUUCGGACCGGGCUAGUUUUUCUCACCAAAAAAUCUUAAAGGUAUGCAAAUGCCAUCUAAAGUGUUAUUCAUUUUAAACUUAGAAACUUAGCAUAUACACCUAGGACUCUUACCAAGAAAAAAAACCUGUAUAACCAUAGGUCUGUUCUAUAUUCGUUUGGAAUUUUAAUCAAAUAUGAAGAUCUUAGUCUUUCUCCGCUGUAUUGGAUACAUGUAUUACAUAAUUUUAUAUGAAAGUGACCUUACAAACAACGUUAUAAAGAGGAGUCUUCCACGUGCUCCACGAGACAUCUUUUUUAAUCGUUGACUUCAAGCUUCAAAGUAAUUGUGAAACUACCUAUUUCAGAGGUUAGUACUAAACAAUUCUAAGAUCUGUUACAAACCGUUUAAUACUCUUUCAUCUUGCAAUAGUAUUAAAUAAAUUGACAUGUCUUUGCGUUAUACACGUAUUUCCCAUUCCAAACUUAACAUCAAAUUAAACGAGUUGGUUCUGCUUUGUUUAUACAAUAAGAUGGUCAACGGACAAAUGUUUAUACAAAUAACUUGUCAAAAGAAGGAAUACAUCUUCUUUGUAAAAUAUCACUCUGAUUAAAAAAAAACAACACAACUCUAAUGUUUGGUUUCUUGAUUGUCAAGAAUUCUUUUUCAACCAGCAAUCGAUACUCCCAUGGUAAACAGUUGUGCUACUGUCCUUGCCGACUCGUUACUUUAUUUGAAUGAGGCUGAUUCAAUAUAGGAGCUUUCUUAGGAAGAAUGAAAAGAAGUUAGCAUCAACAUUUUUUUAGAGCAUAGCUGAACCUAGAUGAACCGCAACUUCAUGUUCCGCUAUACAGAUGAUGCCUUUCCACUAAAUAAUUCCAAGAUUGGUGAUAAUCUUUAUCGCAUCUAUCCCAACGAACUUGAAAUAAAGGACAUAUCAGAUACAUUUAAGUCUGCCUCAUAUCUUGAUUUACAUGUAGAAAUUGACAAUAAGGUUCGUUUAAGAACAAAAACAAAAGAGAUAAUGUCAGCUUCCAAAUUGUGAACUUUUCAUUUCUAGCAACAUUUCAGUAGCUAUUGAAAAGGCCCUCCUGAAUAUGAGGUAUACAACUCACAGUUGCUUCCUUAUUCCAAGGCCGGUAUUUCCUAUUGGUUUUUUCUUGGUAGAGGGUUGUUGCUUGCAAUGGAGCUAGUAAAACAAGAGUUUCACGUAGUACAGUUUAAAUCAUCCUUUUUAAAAUUUUGCGGCCACCAUCACGAGUUGGUUGACCGUUAUUGAAUAUUUGUUUCAUAGAUGACGACGGAUAUGUUCCAAAGUAUUAACCAUAAACCGGUCUUCUCUUCCCCCAAAUGUGACUUACUGAAUUUGACUUGCCACAGGUAUUGUGUUUAUGUACACAUGACCAACAUGACGGAUGCCGAAUUUUUAGAAGGAUCUGUUUGUUCUUCCGGAGUACUGGAGGUCAAACCAUAGUUUCUAGGGGGUCUAAGGUCUUUAGUUUUCUAUGGUUUUUUUUUAGUAUACUGCUGUUUGUAGUUGGUCUUUUGGUUUUUUUUUUCUUUGUGUAGUCAAUUAAUCUUUUACCUGUCAUUUUAAAUAUCCGUUUGCUACAAAUAAUACAUGAAGGUCUUGGUGUAUAGAUAAUGCGUAGGGAAGUUGUUUAUAAUCUUAAUAACGUGUUAUAUUGUCCUUGUAUUUGUCUUUAUUAAUAUAACUUGUACUGUUUGGUCUGUAUUUGUCGAUAUCCAUUUGACAUGGAUCGGUACUUUUGCAUCCCGUCAAAUUUAAUGUCAUUUUUGCUAGUGUGUUUUGUGCGUGUGACGUUUUGUGUUUCUUUGAGACAUAUGACGUGGCUCUGUACUUUAAAAAUCCCGCCAUGAUAUUGCUGUUCUUUUUCAAUUUUUGCAUACCAAAUUUGAAUGAAAAAUUAUUGUAUAUCUCUACCUAUGUGGCGUUUACAUUCUGAAAUCAAACGCGCGAUUUUACACAACAGCUGAUGCUAAUCUGGCCGUUCGGUAAAAGGACUUAAAAUACUUUACUCCCUUAUGGGUUGAUUUUAACAUACAUAAAUAAAAUACAAAAAUAAGUAAGCAAUGAACGUAGUUGCUAAAUUCGAUAUAUGCCUUUUUGUCAAAUAUUUGUUUGUUUUCAUUCUGAUUGAGAUUGUGACUGCUGUACCCCUAUUUUGACAAUUUUACCUAUUAAUAGAUACAGGAAAAUGUGUAUGAGUGCCAAUGAGACAACUCCCAUCCAAGUCACAAUUUAUUAAAAGAAAUCAUUAUAGGUCAAGGUACGGUCUUCAACACGGAGCGUAGGUGUUUUGAUCGCGCAUCGUUGUCAAUAUACAUGUAAUGGAAUUUGAUGCGACUACAUGUCAUACAAGUGAGAGGUUUAGCGCUAUCAAACCAGGUUCAAUCCACCAUUUUUUUACAUAAGAAAAUGCCUGUACCAAGUCAGAAAUAUGACAGUUGUAGUCCAUUUGUUUGAUGUGUUUUAUCUUUUGAUUUUGCAAUUUGAUUAGGGACUUUCCAUUUUGAAUUUUCCUCGGAGUUCAGUAUUUUUGUGAUUGUACUUUUUGCUAUUUUUCAUUUCUCUUUAAAUUAUUAUAGAGGUUAAUAAUGCUCAAGUUACACAAAAAUUGAUAUCUCCUGGAUUUUAAAUAUUGGAUAUUUAGAAGGGAACAUGUAGAUUGCUAAAAUUUAAUAAAAAUUUGUGGUCACAUUCACUAAUAUCAAGCCAUCAGAAUUUUAUAAAUAAAACUGUUCCAUACAUCAUAUUAAUACAAACCUUUUAACUAAAAAAAUAUUUUGAAUGGUUCAUUUUAGAUAGAACUCCUGGUGUUAUUUUAAGAAGAUAUUGAGUAGAAUUGACAGACAUGCGGAAAAGUAUUUUAUUGGUUUUGUUUUUUGUUUUUUUCCUUUGUAAGUAUAUUUGUAAAUGUGUUGCAAAUGAUGAAAACAGAAUGAAAAUACAUAAUUCUUCAAAAAUCUAAUCGAACUAUUGUCACAUGUGCAAGUUAAUCUAUAAAUUUGAUGAAUAAAAUGCAAUGUCAUGGAAGCAUAACUUUUUGAGAUAUAACAUUUAUUGGAAUUUAAAAUCUAAAUUUUCAAAUGUUGCUUGAUUGUUGUCAGUCAAUUAAAAGUUCAGAUUUUUAUCCAAUAUUCAUAUACAUGCAUUCAUUGAUUCAAUAAUUUCCGGAAUUAACAUUAUUAUCACCAUUUUGCAUCAAACUGCUAUAAAUGUGUAUUUGACCGAUGACACAGGCAUUCAAGUUUCAACUCCCCAGAAAGAAAUGAAAACUUGCAGUAAACCUAUGUGUGCUAGGAGAUGGAAGAAUAAUUGUGGUUGCAAUGGCUGUUGCUAUGCCACAGGCUGUAAAAGAGGACGAUGUAAAGGGUGGAAAUGCAUGUGUUCUCGAUGUCCAAGUAAUGAUUAAUAAUUAUUAUAAGUAAUCUAAUACUAGUAACACGUUUGUAAAUGUCUAAUUACAUGUUUUAAAUUACCAUGGAAGUAAUAUUUACACAAUCGCUGACAAAUUUAAACGAAUCCUUUGCAAACUACGGGUCCCCAUUAAUACCAGUGUUUAUGAGGGAUAUGCAUUAAAUGUUCUUGCUUCGAAAGAGAAAAGUUGUUUCGUCAAGUAGCCAUCAGUCGAAUACACAGACGGUCGAUGAUUGGCAUGAACUUCCUACGGAAUCAUGUGGAAGAUCGUCAAAAAAAUUAUCUGCUUAACAUUUGUGAUACUUUGAUAACCAUAUGGCCGUGUUGAUAUUUCUCUUAUGGUGAAUAUAACUAACACGGCAGAUGAAAUUUAAGUAGUUGUCGACGCAAAAUCAUUUGGAAGCGGUUCAAUUACAAUAUGUAGUUCAUGUAUGUUUUUGAUACGAUUUAGUCAAUAAUUGGAGAGUAAAAUUAUCUAACGUUUAAUGUUAAAACCUCUUUUGGAAUUUCCAUCGGCAUGGACACAACUCUGGCAGGGUUAGAAAGCAAAAUCAAAUUUUCUGCAGUGUUUUUUAUUUGAAAAUAUAUAAGCUUUUUCAUACGAGCUAUAAACUUCUUUUUUUAAAGAAUGUAAAUAAACUCGUCAUAGAUACCAGGACUAAAUUUUGUAUAUACGCCAGACGUGCGUUACGUCUACAAAAGACUCAUCAGUGACGCUCGAAUACAAAAAAGUUAAAAAGGCCAAAUAAAGUACGAAGUUGAAGAGAAUUGAGCACCAAAAUUCCUAAAAGUUUUGCCAAAUUCAGCUAAGGUAAUCUAUGCCUGAGGUAGAAAAGCCUUAUUCACAGCCUGAAGAAGGAAAGUAUCUAUUCAACAUUGUUUUCUAGGAAAAUCUUGAUGCAAUUCGAUUCAUAUGCUUUUUAUUAAAAGUGGAAAAAAAUCACGGUGUUCAAAAUGUAAAACAACAACGAAAUCAUACAUAGGCUACGAAUAACAAGGAUGAACAUUCACAAAAUAUGUACUUAACGUCACUGCAUUCAAUGCCUUUUAUCAUGAUUUGACUUGAUUCUGUAGAAAACACUUUCCAAUGAUCCUUGAGAACCAAUUAUUAACCAACUAUCAUAGUUCUGACUUGGUAUAUACAUUUUGGAUUAAAAGUGGUAGGUUGUGCAAGGUUUGCAGGGAACCAACCUUCAAAACGAUAUUCGAACAUCCCCUGUAAAAACCCUUAAACCUUUGCCAGUAUGGUUAAAACAUCAAAGCCAAUGGUAUUUAUUGUCCUUUACAGUUUUACUCCAGAAACAGACAAAACGAGCAUAGGGCGCAAAUACAAAAUUUCAAUCAUGGUAUCUUUGAUGAGUUUAAUACUUACAGAAAUGAAACAUAUUGCACUCUUUACGUUUUAGUGCAAUUAUAAAUACAAACGUUCCACUACAGAAAAAACGUAAUGGAAAAUGUACAGAUGUAUUAUAAUCACCGUUACAAUAAGAAAGACAAUUAAUUAAAAAAAAAAAACAUAAAAUUAAUAACAUAUUUUCUUGUAGAAGUGACUACCACUACAACUACUACUACAAUGAUGUCAUCUACAACAUCCUGACGUCUAAACAACUACGGUGUAUGGUCGAUAAUUUGUCCUUAUUGGGAACUAUAUUGUAAAUAAAAUUGUG